rnacentral:sRNA from 1 species
CUUACCUCAUUUUGGAAACUUUCGCUGUAUAAUUUUUCCUCUCGCCUACUGCACUUGGAGUAUAUUCUUGCAUAUAAAACCCCCAAAGUCACUGUUCUCCUGAUACUCAGGGACCAAAACUGCCACAUAGUCACCCUUUGAAAACUCCUCUAAUAUGACUGGUGUUGGGGGGUGGGGAGCGCAGGGGAGUGGGUGACAAAUGACAUCUUUCAACAAAGGACACACUGAGUUUCCAAGAAAAGUAAACUCUUAAGUGAAUUUCCGGUAAAUCCAAGUAUUUCUGCUGAUGAACUGAGGAAACGUCAGAAAGUGUGUGCUCAAAGAAGCACUGUGGGACCUCGAAGGCACAGCUAACCUAUCAGGCACAGGGGCGGGACCCGGAAGGCACAGCUGACCUAUCAGGCACAGAGCAGUGUGCUUUGCGCAGACCUCGCAGCCAUUCAAAGUUUACAGCCCAGGAACACAGGAUGAAGCACAAAAGGCGCAACCUGGUACAGGAACUGCGGGGUGAGCUCAAGGAUCCAAGAAGCUGUCUUUCUCCUCCUCCAUGUGGCCACUGAAAUCAGCACGCCUAGACACCAUUCAACCUCCAAAAGCCCUUAACAGGACCUCUGCAUGACCACCUCCAAAACCCAGGGACAUGACAGAAGAGGAAACAAAAAGACUGUAAGAACCGGAAGAUGGGAAAGAAUACUAUGCGACACCAUCUUGUAGAUAUGACACAGCUGUUGCAAUAGUGAACACGCAGCACCUAUGGCCACCUGCACAGGACAUACAUACAUGCAGACAGACAGGAGGCUGGAGAGAUGGCUCAAUUGUUAAGAACACACACUGUUCCCUCCAGAGGACCAAUUUGGUUCCCUGCACCCUGUUGAACUGCGCAUCACCACCAGUAACUCCAGAUCCACGGGAACCAGCGCCCUCUGCUGACCACUCCAGGCACUGCACUCAUAUACCCGUGUCCCCAUGCUUGUCAUGAACAGACACUUAAUUAAAAAUUAAAAAAAU